UUCUGUGGGGACGGAGCGGCCGGCCGCAACUUGCGGUUCGAGCUAGCGCUUUCCCUACAUCCUGCCGCGAACCGUGCUACCAUUAAUUUGGUGGCGCCGGGGAUCGGCUCGUUUACUUUGAGAAAAAUAGAGUGUUCAAAGCAGGCCACACGCCUUGAAUAAGUUAGCAUGGAAUAAUAAUAAAGGACUUCGGUUCUAUUUUGUUGGUGUUCGGGACUGAAGUAAUGAUUGAUAGGGACAGUUGGGGCGGUCAGUAUUCCAAAGCGAGAGGUGAAAUUCUUAGACCUUCGGAAGACUAACAGCUGCGAAAGCGUUCCGCAAGGAUGUUCCCUUUGAUCAAGAACGAAAGUUGGGGGAUCGAAGACGAUCAGAUACCGUCGUAGUCUCAACUAUAAACUAUACCAGCUAGGGAUCGGCCAACGUUAAAUUAUCCGACUUGGUCGGCACCUUAUGAGAAAUCAAAGCAUCUGGGUUCCGGGGGGAGUAUGGUCGCAAGGCUGAAACUUAAAGGAAUUGACGGAAGGGCACCACCAGCCGUGGAGCCUGUGGCUUAAUUUGACUCAACACGGGAAAACUUACCAGGUCCAGACAUAGUAAGGAUUGACAGAUUGAUAGCUCUUUCUUGAUUCUGUGGGUGGUGGUGCAUGGCCGUUCUUAGUUGGUGGAGUGAUUUGUCUGGUUAAUUCCGUUAACGAACGAGACCCCAGCCUGCUAAAUAGCGCGGUUGAGCUUUGCUCGGCGCGAGCUUCUUAGAGGGACUAUGAUGCGCGAUANACAUGGAAGUUUGGGGCAAUAACAGGUCUGUGAUGCCCUUAGAUGUUCUGGGCCGCACACGGGCUACACUGGCGCCUGCAACGAGCAUAUCAGCUGGCCCGAGAGGGUCUUGGCUAAUCUUUUGAACCGGCGCCGUGCUUGGGAUUGACCAUUGCAAUUGUUGGUCAUGCAACGAGGAAUGCCUUGUAAACGCGAGUCAUCAACUCGCAUUGAAUACGUCCCUGCCCUUUGUACACACCGCCCGUCGCUCUACCGAUGAAUG
rnacentral:rRNA from 1 species